rnacentral:rRNA from 1 species
AACGAACGCUGGCGGCAGGCUUAACACAUGCAAGUCGAGCGAAGACUUCGGUCUUAGCGGCGGACGGGUGAGUAACGCGUGGGAACGUGCCCUUCUCUACGGAAUAGUCCUGGGAAACUGGGUUUAAUACCGUAUACGCCCUUUUGGGGAAAGAUUUAUCGGAGAAGGAUCGGCCCGCGUUGGAUUAGGUAGUUGGUGGGGUAAUGGCCUACCAAAGCGACGAUCAGUAGCCGGCUUGAGAGAGUGACCGGCCACAUUGGGACUGAGACACGGCCCAGACUCCUACGGGAGGCAGCAGUGGGGAAUAUUGCACAAUGGGGGAAACCCUGAUGCAGCGACGCCGCGUGAGUGAAGAAGUAUUUCGGUAUGUAAAGCUCUAUCAGCAGGGAAGAAAAGGACAUCAGUCUUUGACUGGUGACAUAAAUGACGGUACCUGACUAAGAAGCUCCGGCUAAAUACGUGCCAGCCGCCGCCGUAAUAC